rnacentral:lncRNA from 1 species
GUUGGGGUCCCAUCCCUCCAGGGUAGCAGAGACUCUUCCCAGCCCUUUCCCUUCUGCCAGGGUUGUGCACAGAGCAAGCAAUUGGGAAGAGUCCUUGUCGUUGGUCCCCGCUGGGCCCCAGUGACACAGCCGUUUCCAGGCCAGCAUGAACCCGGAGGGCAGCUGGUUCUGUUGCUUUCCUUCCAGAUUUGGGAAUGGGAGGGGACUCUGGCUGAGGCUCCUCAGACCCACCAAUAAGCCAGUUGUUCCCUCUCAGACCCUCUCCCCUGUCUGGCCCUGGAAAUUCCUCUGCUUCCUCUGUCUGCACUGUCUAGCUGUCUUGCUUCCCUCUCUGGGAGGGCCCGGCAUAAUGCAUCCAAAAAAACCAAGGGUAGAAGUUGUUUUCCUGUAACUUCUGCUUCAGGAAAUGGCUGGCUACCUUCCGAAGAGGGAGAGAAAAUUACUUUCAGAAUAAAAGACAAAUUAACAUCUCGCUCUAACCAGGCUUCGGAUUUGGAGCGGAGAUGAUGUACGGUCCUGUCUUUCAUUCUCUUCCCACUUCAGCACCUCUUUUGGAGUGGAGGUGGCGAGCUUCGUCUGGUUCGGGAGGGACCACCCCCUCCUCCUCCUUCUGAGCCUAUUCCAUCAGCGUUAAGACUGGCAGAGGAGACAGAGCCGCUGUUAGACCACAAGAUGCCUUCCUAAGAAUCGUCCCUUACUUGUAGAAAGCGCUCAAUAAAUAUGUGCAGAAUGAAUGAAUGAACAAGGACAUUUAAAAAUUAAUAAAUGAAUUUAUGAUCCUAUGGGCAAUGCGG